AGCGAACGCUGGCGGCAGGCCUAACACAUGCAAGUCGAACGAAGUCUUCGGACUUAGUGGCGGACGGGUGAGUAACACGUGGGAACGUGCCUUUAGGUUCGGAAUAACCCAGGGAAACUUGUGCUAAUACCGAAUGUGCCCUUCGGGGGAAAGAUUUAUCGCCUUUAGAGCGGCCCGCGUCUGAUUAGCUAGUUGGUGAGGUAAAGGCUCACCAAGGCUACGAUCAGUAGCUGGUCUGAGAGGAUGACCAGCCACAUUGGGACUGAGACACGGCCCAAACUCCUACGGGAGGCAGCAGUGGGGAAUCUUGCGCAAUGGGCGAAAGCCUGACGCGGCCAUGCCGCGUGGAUGAUGAAGGUCUUAGGAUUGUAAAAUCCUUUCACCGGUGAAGAUAAUGACUGUAGCCGGAGAAGAAGCCCCGGCUAACUUCGUGCCAGCCGCCGCAGUAACAC
rnacentral:rRNA from 1 species